UGUAAAACACCUGAAUCAAACAGAACUAACCAAAUGGUUCCUACCCUUUUGUCUUUGGUUGGGGCGACCGCGGGGAAACAAAAAUCCCCCACGUGGAAUGGGGCUCUCCCCCUUAAAGCCAGAGCCACAGCUCUAGCUAACAGAAUAUCUGACCUACAAGAUCCGGCAAAGCCGAUCAACGGACCGAGUUACCCUAGGGAUAACAGCGCAAUCCCCUUUUAGAGCCCAUAUCGACAAGGGGGUUUACGACCUCGAUGUUGGAUCAGGACAUCCUAAUGGUGCAGCCGCUAUUAAGGGUUCGUUUGUUCAACGAUUAAAGUCCUACGUGAUCUGAGUUCAGACCGGAGAAAUCCAGGUCAGUUUCUAUCUAUGCAUGUUUUUUUCUAGUACGAAAGGACCGAAAAAAAGAGGCCCCUGCUCCCAGUAAGCCUCCCCCUUACCUAAUGGAAAACAACUAAAAUAGGUAAAAGGGCAUUUACCCCUGCCUAAGAAAAAGGCAAGUUAAGGUGGCAGAGCCCGGAUAAUGCAAAAGACCUAAGCCCUUUAAACAGGGGUUCAAAUCCUCUCCUUAACU
rnacentral:tRNA from 1 species